rnacentral:rRNA from 1 species
AGAGAGAGACAUGCGCGCAUAUCAAUAAGCGGAGGAAAAGAAACUAACAAGGAUUCCCUUAGUAACGGCGAGUGAAGCGGGAAGAGCUCAAAUUUGAAAUCUUCAAGGUUCUACCUUGACGAAUUGUAGUUUAUAGAAGUGUUUUCUGUUAGUGGAGUGGCAAAAGUUCUUUGGAAUAGGACAUCAUAGAGGGUGAGAAUCCCGUAUUUGGUCAUUCCUCCUAGCAUUGUGAUACACUUUCAACGAGUCGGAUUGUUUGGGAAUGCAGUCCAAAAUGGGUGGUAAAUUUCAUCUAAAGCUGAAUAUUGGCGAGAGACCGAUAGCGAACAAGUACCGUGAGGGAAAGAUGAAAAGAACUUUGAAAAGAGAGUUAAACAGUACGUGAAAUUGUCAAAAGGGAAGCGUUUGACACCAGUGUUGUUUUUCCGAAAAUCAAUUACGAAUGUUUUAUUUUUGAGGAGUUAUGACUUCAUCGGCUUGCUCCUUUCUUUAUGAAACUUUCUUAAUGCACUUUUCGGUUAACAAGUCAACAUCAAUUUCUUUUGUUGUAAAAGGGUAUGAGGAAGGUGGCUUUCCUUUUCGGAGAAAGUGUUUAUAGCCUUGUGCCUCUGCAAUCGGAGAGAUUGAGGUCUGCAGCGUAGAUCCUUCGGGGUUAGAUACGUUUGUGCUAAGUUAUAGCUUUUCAUAGACAACUUGUUGACUAUGUUUAGUCUUGUAGCUUACUCGCUGACGCUAUUUUACCUACGCUUAGGAUGUUGAUAGUCACAGCGUGUAC